CCUGCUUUAGAUCUGUGCCUUGGAGAAGUUUGGGGGGUUUUUUCCUUUCUUUCUUUCUUUCUUUCUUUUUUCCCAGUGAUGUUCACUUCUUGGCUGUCAGAGCCUCUUACGUUGCCCCAGACAGAUGCCACAUAGCAACCGGUGGCCAGACCUCCACUGUAGCCCCGAGAGCUGUUUUCAAAGGUGGCCGUUUUGCUGUUCUUUCAGGUGGCUUCCUAUGGUGAAGAACAGGAAAACCGCAGCCCCCAAAGGAAGCCAAGUCCAGUGCAGGUUUCAUUCCUCCCCACCGGCCCCACGAGCCGGCCRCGGGGCUGCAGAGGACCGGCAGCCACCAGCGCAGCGCGGCGUUUUGGUGUUGCAUCCUUUCCAGCAACGUGAAGCAGCGGCACCGCUCCGUUCGGACGGAGCGAUGACGCACCUCGCUUUGCGGGCAGAGCCCGGCUCUUUGGUUUCCCUUGACGCGGUAAUAGCUUCGCACAGCAUGCUUCAGAGCUCCGCUUGGGAUCRUGUCCUUCCCGCAGCUUUUAUUUUUGGCCUCUGGCAAGGAAUAAUUGAUGACAUCCGCAGGCGGAGGCUGCGACGGCAAAUUCUGCCUCUCGAAAUAGCAGCCUCGCUGCGGGCGGCACGAGGGGCUGCGGUGGCUGGUUUCGGAGACCCGGCGGGAGGGCUGGGAUUUCGGCACCCUCGUGCCGGUGUACCCUAGGUGUGUCAGCCCAAAAUGCUGCGCGAGGUCCUGCUUUUGGGUGAYGCAAAGCUCCUGCCUGCUGCUUCCCCUUGCCAGCCUUGACUGACCUGCCAGGAGCACCGCUCGCUGCCCAGGCGCCGGGGUUUUCACCGUCCUGGCGCACUGCUCUCGGAUGGGGUUAGGACGUGUUGGCGAGGGAUGGGUUUAGCUUCCUGCGUAGUUACCUGCCUUCAUCAGGGUGCCGCUGGCACGACAGCGAGGAGGGAACGGAGCAGGUGGGGAUGGACAGCACCGAAACCAAGCGCCACGGGCAAGAAGGCCCCAGAAGGCGAGCUGCCUGCCCGCGCUGCCCCACGCCUCUGAAGGAGAGCCUUCGCGGGUAAAAAAUUAUACCCGGGGGAAAAAACACACGGAAAUGUAUAAAUUCUGUAAUAGUGGGGCUGCUGACUACAGGCUGCUUAGGAAGAAAUUUCCGCUCCCACACAAGGAGCCGUCAGGCCGUGGCCAUGCCUAACGCUCAGUUUUCUGCAGCUUGAGUCCACCGGAGUUUUGUUAAAAAACAAACGCGCGCGCACACACACACGUGCACACUCAAAAAAAAACCACAAGAAAACCUCUCAGCUUUACGCUGGAGGAAAACAGUCUGUUUAGGACCAAGGAGCGUGACAAUUCCAUAAUUUCGAAAUAAGGCGCUUAGGUUAUAGCACUGUAGCAGGAGAGAAGAGAAKGGUGCUUCUUAUUUGAAGGUCAAAGCUAAAAAACGUGGCAUGUAUGAACUAUGCUCUUUCUGUUCUUGGUCCGUAAUUCUUUCCUAGGAGAUGCAAGAGCAUGAAUAUAUAYGGAUAUUCAAUUUGUCAGUGAUGAAGCUUUAUACGUUUUGUCAAUGAAAAUGCUCUUAAGCUCACGGGGACAAUACUAUUUGCCUAGUAAGCUGGGGAUUUGGCAUAACAAAUAACCAAUGACUUCACUUCAUUUUUAAGUCAAUAAUAAAGACACACUCUCAGUUAAAUUUAAUUCCA
rnacentral:lncRNA from 1 species